UACGUAGGGUGCAAGCGUUGUCCGGAAUUAUUGGGCGUAAAGAGCUCGUAGGCGGUCUGUCACGUCGGCUGUGAAAACCCGAGGCUCAACCUCGGGCCUGCAGUCGAUACGGGCAAACUAGAGUACUGCAGGGGAGACUGGAAUUCCUGGUGUAGCGGUGAAAUGCGCAGAUAUCAGGAGGAACACCGGUGGCGAAGGCGGGUCUCUGGGCAGUAACUGACGCUGAGAAGCGAAAGCAUGGGGAGCGAACAGG
rnacentral:rRNA from 1 species